rnacentral:tRNA from 2 species
UAGAUUGAAGCCAGUAAGUAGGGUAUUUAGCUGUUAACUAAAUUUUCGUAGGAAUUUGAUUCCUUCCAAUCUAG